rnacentral:rRNA from 1 species
UACGGAGGAUGCAAGCGUUAUCCGGAAUGAUUGGGCGUAAAGCGUCCGCAGGUGGCAAUGUAAGUCUGCUGUCAAAGCGUCUGGCUCAACCAGAUAAAGGCAGUGGAAACUACAUAGCUAGAGUAAGGUAGGGGUAGAGGGAAUUCCUGGUGUAGCGGUGAAAUGCGUAGAGAUCCGGAAGAACACCAGUGGCGAAGGCGGUCUGCUGGGCAGUUGCUGACACUGAUGCGCGACAGCGUGGGGAGCAAACAGG